rnacentral:rRNA from 1 species
CGGACGGGUGAGUAAUGUCUGGGAAACUGCCUGAUGGAGGGGGAUAACUACUGGAAACGGUAGCUAAUACCGCAUAAUGUCGCAAGACCAAAGAGGGGGACCUUCGGGCCUCUUGCCAUCGGAUGUGCCCAGAUGGGAUUAGCUUGUUGGUGGGGUAACGGCUCACCAAGGCGACGAUCCCUAGCUGGUCUGAGAGGAUGACCAGCCACACUGGAACUGAGACACGGUCCAGACUCCUACGGGAGCAGCAUG